rnacentral:rRNA from 1 species
UACGGGGGGAGCAAGCGUUGUCCGGAAUUAUUGGGCGUAAAGAGCUUGUAGGCGGUUUGUCGCGUCUGCUGUGAAAUUUCGGGGCUCAACCCCGAACUUGCAGUGGGUACGGGCAGACUAGAGUGUGGUAGGGGAGACUGGAAUUCCUGGUGUAGCGGUGAAAUGCGCAGAUAUCAGGAGGAACACCGAUGGCGAAGGCAGGUCUCUGGGCCAUAACUGACGCUGAGAAGCGAAAGCAUGGGGAGCGAACAGG